UAAAGCGAGUAUCUGUAGUGGAUACAUGCUUGGUGAAUAUGUUUUAUAAAUCCUAUCCACCCCGUGGAUAGGUAGUCGGCAAAACGUCGAACUGUCAUAAGAAUUGAAACGCUGGCACACUGUUGGGUCCUGAGGCAACACGUUGUGUUGUCACCCUGCUUGGUG
rnacentral:misc_RNA from 1 species